rnacentral:rRNA from 1 species
UACGAAGGGGGCGAGCGUUGUUCGGAUUUACUGGGCGUAAAGGGCGCGUAUGCGGCCUGCUAAGUCGAACGUGAAAUCCCCGGGCUCAACCCGGGAACUGCGUCCGAUACUGGCUGGCUUGAAUCCGGGAGAGGGAUGCGGAAUUCCAGGUGUAGCGGUGAAAUGCGUAGAUAUCUGGAGGAACACCGGUGGCGAAGGCGGCAUCCUGGACCGGCAUUGACGCUGAGGCGCGAAAGCCAGGGGAGCAAACGGG